UUUACAUCGAAUGAAUCAGCUAUAUAGACAAGUUAUUAUUUUGAACGAUCUAAGAAAUCACGCAAAUGGUUUGUCAUACUCUUUUACUAUGAAGCGAUAGUAAUAAUUUUUAUUUCGGGACUUGAAAACGAAGUUAGUUACAUUUCAGACGAUGCAUGGAGUUUUCAAGAAAUUUGUUUAAAUUAUGGAAUUAAAUCGUCUACUAUGAGGAGAAAAUCUUCGGAAGGGGAGCGCAAAAUUUGCUGUGACGAUUGCGAUUUUGAUAACGCGAAUGAUCACAAAGGGUGAUCACACGAACGCGUGAUAUUCACAGUUGGGAAUGUGAUCACGGAAUGAAUCAGUCCAAGUUGUAUAUUCAAUCAUAGAAAGCAAGGAAUUGCAUAUUUGACCUCAAAAAUAGAUUAU